GCUUCAAUCUAACAGAGAGCAGGAUCUUAAGGAAGAUGUUAAGCAUGGAUAACUUCAAAGGGAUUUGAAGGGGAAACUUUUAGAAUUCAUCAGAUUGCCAUUUUGAACUAUACUUCUCUUGAAGCAUAGAGGUGAGAAAAUAUGUGGGGCCUUUAGGCUGGCAGUGUUCUCAUCUGAUCAAUUACUUGGAGGGAAUUAAUGGAGUGCCAAAAAUUAAGAAUGGUUAUAAUCCUGCAACUUGGAUGUUGGAGGUUACUUUACAAGCCCAAGAAGCAGCUCUUGGAGUUAACUUCGAUGAAAUAUACAAGAAUCCCAUAUCCAUGUCAUUGGAAACUUGAUUCAGAUGUUUGGAAGCAAACAUUG